rnacentral:rRNA from 1 species
AUUGAACGCUGGCGGCAGGCCUAACACAUGCAAGUCGAGCGGAUGAAGGGAGCUUGCUCCUGGCUUCAGCGGCGGACGGGUGAGUAAUGCCUAGGAGUCUGCCUGGUCGUGGGGGAUAACGUCCGUUAACGGGCGCUAAUCCCGCAUACGUCCUGAGGGAGAAAGUGGGGGAUCUUCGGACCUCACGCUAUCUGCUGAGCCUAGGUCGGAUUAGCUAGUUGGUGGGGUAAAGGCCUACCAAGGCGACGAUCCGUAACUGGUCUGAGAGGAUGAUCAGUCACACUGGAACUGAGACACGGUCCAGACUCCUACGGGAGGCAGCAGUGGGGAAUAUUGGACAAUGGGCGAAAGCCUGAUCCAGCCAUGCCGCGUGUGUGAAGAAGGUCUUCGGAUUGUAAAGCACUGUAAGUUGGGAGGAAGGGCAGUAAGUUAAUACCUGGCUGUUUUGACGGUACCAACAGAAUAAGCACCGGCUAACUUCGUG